UACGAGAGGUCCAAACGUUAUUCGGAAUCACUGGGCUUACAGAGUUCGUAGGCGGUCCAGAAAGUGGGGUGUGAAAGCCCUCGGCUUAACCGAGGAACUGCGCUCCAAACUACUGGGCUAGAGGAAGAUAGAGGUGAGCAGAACUGAUGGUGGAGCGGUGAAAUGCGUUGAUAUCAUCAGGAAUACCGGAGGCGAAGGCGGCUCACUGGGUCUUUUCUGACGCUGAGGAACGAAAGCCAGGGGAGCGAACGGG
rnacentral:rRNA from 1 species